rnacentral:rRNA from 1 species
UACGGAGGGGGCUAGCGUUGUUCGGAAUUACUGGGCGUAAAGCGCGCGUAGGCGGACCUGCAAGUCGGGGGUGAAAGCCCGAGGCUCAACCUCGGAACUGCCUUCGAUACUGCGGGUCUCGAGUCCGGGAGAGGUGAGUGGAAUUCCUAGUGUAGAGGUGAAAUUCGUAGAUAUUAGGAAGAACACCAGUGGCGAAGGCGGCUCACUGGCCCGGUACUGACGCUGAGGCGCGAAAGCGUGGGGAGCGAGUCCGG